AUGAUUAUUCUACUUCUAAGCAUCUAUUUUAACAAUAUUCUUGUUUCAGGUUCUUCUUCAAGUGACCAAGUCGACCAGACUCCUGCUGACAUUUACACAAAAGGAGAGGAUGUUAAAGUCUACUGCUCACACAGCAUUCAAAGCUAUAACAAAAUCCUCUGGUACAAGCAGUCAAAGAAACAGCUACAAUAUCUGGGAUACAUGAAUAUUGACAAAGGUUAUCCAGAGACUGGAGUGAAUGUGACGAUGGAAGGGAAUGCAAAUAAAGGCGAGAACUGCACAUUAACGAUUAAGUAUCUCAAACUAAGCAGCAGUGGAGUGUACUUCUGUGCUGCUAGGACACGUGAGCACGAGGCUUACUUUGGAGCUGGAACUAAACUCACUGUUUUAGAAGAAAACAGUGCCGUCACUCCACCACAAGUACAAAUACUGACACCUUCAGAACACGAGUGCAGAAACAGCAAAGACAAAAAAAGGAAGAAGACCCUCGUCUGUGUGGCCUCUGGUUUCUACCCUGACCAUGUCAAAGUGUAUUGGCAAAUGAAUGAGAAAAAUGUCGCUGAUGGUGUGGCGACAGAUGAAGCUGCGCGUGAAGGAAAAGAUCACAACAACAAGACCGUGUACAAAAUCACCAGCAGGCUGAGAGUCUAUGCCAAACAAUGGGAAAAUCCUGGCAAUACCUUUAAAUGCGUUGUCAAUUUCUUCAGUGGCACUGUAUAUACAGAUUAUCCAGCAUUUAUUGACGGAGUUACGGCUGAGACAAAUUCUAUAUCAAGAGAGAAGUAUUUGACAACUACACAAAAUUUCAAGGUUGUCUACAGCGUGCUUACUGUCAAGAGCUGUGCCUAUGGAGCUUUCGUUGGAUUUUUGGUGUGGAAGCUUCAGCGUUUUGGUGGAAAGCAGAAGUACUGAGAGCUGAGCUGAAGCCUCAAAAAAUAACUCUGGGACAUGAGUUACCUUGCUCUCUGUAAAUAUCGUUCACAAACAUAGUCUAUUGUUAAAGUGCACACUGUUAAUCACCUGUUCAAGUUCUGCUGUGGAUUUUUAUGUGCUUAUUUGUCUUUAUAUAAUUAAUAACUGCUUUUCAAAUAGACUGAUGUCAAUUUCUUUAGAUACAAAGGGAUUUUCUGUGUGUAACUUGAUUUUCUUCUUAAUAAAAGUAUCUUAGAUUAUUUUAAA